rnacentral:rRNA from 1 species
UCCUACGGGAGGCAGCAGUAGGGAAUCUUCCGCAAUGGACGAAAGUCUGACGGAGCAACGCCGCGUGAGUGAUGAAGGCUUUCGGGUCGUAAAACUCUGUUAUUAGGGAAGAACAAGUGCUAGUUGAAUAAGCUGGCACCUUGACGGUACCUAACCAGAAAGCCACGGCUAACUACGUGCCAGCAGCCGCGGUAAUACGUAGGUGGCAAGCGUUAUCCGGAAUUAUUGGGCGUAAAGCGCGCGCAGGUGGUUUCUUAAGUCUGAUGUGAAAGCCCACGGCUCAACCGUGGAGGGUCAUUGGAAACUGGGAGACUUGAGUGCAGAAGAGGAAAGUGGAAUUCCAUGUGUAGCGGUGAAAUGCGUAGAGAUAUGGAGGAACACCAGUGGCGAAGGCGACUUUCUGGUCUGUAACUGACACUGAGGCGCGAAAGCGUGGGGAGCAAACAGGAUUAGAUACCCUGGUAGUCCACGCCGUAAACGAUGAGUGCUAAGUGUUAGAGGGUUUCCGCCCUUUAGUGCUGAAGUUAACGCAUUAAGCACUCCGCCUGGGGAGUACGGCCGCAAGGCUGAAACUCAAAGG